rnacentral:lncRNA from 1 species
GUAGAAGAUGUGUUUCCUGUGAUGUGGCUGAUUGAUUAGCUACGGUAUAUAUUGGUAGAAGAUGUGGCUGAUUGAUUAGCUACGGUAUAUAUUGGUAGAAGAUGUGGCUGAUUGAUUCGCUACGGUAUAUAUUGGUAGAAGAUGUGGCUGAUUGAUUAGCUACGGCAUAUAUUGGUAGAAGAUGUGGCUGAUUGAUUCGCUACGGCAUAUAUUGGUAGAAGAUGUGGCUGAUUGAUUAGCUACGGUAUAUAUUGGUAGAAGAUGUGUUUCCUGUGAUGUGGCUGAUUGAUUAGCUACGGUAUAUAUUGGUAGAAGAUGUGGCUGAUUGAUUAGCUACGGUAUAUAUUGGUAGAAGAUGUGUCUGAUUGAUUAGCUACGGUAUAUAUUGGUAGAAGAUGUGGCUGAUUGAUUAGCUACGGUAUAUAUUGGUAGAAGAUGUGGCUGAUUGAUUAGCUACGGUAUAUAUUGGUAGAAGAUGUGGCUGAUUGAUUAGCUACGGUAUAUACUGGUAGAAGAUGUGUUUCCUAAGAUGUGGCUGAUUGAUUAGCUACGGUAUAUACUGGUAGAAGAUGUGGCUGAUUGAUUAGCUACGGUAUAUAUUGGUAGAAGAUGUGGCUGAUUGAUUCGCUACGGCAUAUAUUGGUAGAAGAUGUGGCUGAUUGAUUAGCUACGGCAUAUAUUGGUAGAAGAUGUGGCUGAUUGAUUAGCUACGGCAUAUAUUGGUAGAAGAUGUGGCUGAUUGAUUAGCUACGGUAUAUAUUGGUAGAAGAUGUGGCUGAUUGAUUAGCUACGGUAUAUAUUGGUAGAAGAUGUGGCUGAUUGAUUAGCUACGGUAUAUACUGGUAGAAGAUGUGUUUCCUGUGAUGUGGCUGAUUGAUUAGCUACGGUAUAUAUUGGUAGAAGAUGUGGCUGAUUGAUUAGCUACGGUAUAUACUGGUAGAAGAUGUGUUUCCUGUGAUGUGUCUGAUUGAUUAGCUACGGUAUAUAUUGGUAGAAGAUGUGGCUGAUUGAUUAGCUACGGUAUAUAUUGGUAGAAGAUGUGUCUGAUUGAUUAGCUACGGUAUAUACUGGUAGAAGAUGUGUCUGAUUGAUUAGCUACGGUAUAUACUGGUAGAAGAUGUGUCUGAUUGAUUAGCUACGGUAUAUAUUGGUAGAAGAUGUGGCUGAUUGAUUAGCUACGGUAUAUACUGGUAGAAGAUGUGGCUGAUUGAUUAGCUACGGUAUAUAUUGGUAGAAGAUGUGGCUGAUUGAUUAGCUACGGUAUAUAUUGGUAGAAGAUGUGGCUGAUUGAUUAGCUACGGUAUAUAUCGGUAGAAGAUGUGUCUGAUUGAUUAGCUACAGUAUAUAUUGGUAGAAGAUGUGGCUGAUUGGUUAGCUACGGUAUAUAUUGGUAGAAGAUGUGGCUGAUUGAUUAGCUACGGUAUAUACUGGUAGAAGAUGUGGCUGAUUGAUUAGCUACGGUAUAUAUUGGUAGAAGAUGUGGCUGAUUGAUUAGCUACGGUAUAUAUUGGUAGAAGAUGUGGCUGAUUGAUUAGCUACGGUAUAUACUGGUAGAAGAUGUGUCUGAUUGAUUAGCUACGGUAUAUACUGGUAGAAGAUGUGUCUGAUUGAUUAGCUACGGUAUAUACUGGUAGAAGAUGUGGCUGAUUGAUUAGCUACAGUAUAUAUUGGUAGAAGAUGUGGCUGAUUGAUUAGCUACGGUAUAUAUUGGUAGAAGAUGUGGCUGAUUGAUUAGCUACGGUAUAUACUGGUAGAAGAUGUGUCUGAUUGAUUAGCUACGGUAUAUAUUGGUAGAAGAAAUGGCUGAUUGAUUAGCUACGGUAUAUACUGGUAGAAGAUGUGUCUGACUGAUUAGCUAUGGUAUAUACUGGUAGAAGAUGUGUCUGAUUGAUUAGCUACGGUAUAUAUUGGUAGAAGAUGUGUCUGAUUGAUUAGCUACGGUAUAUAUUGGUAGAAGAUGUGUUUCCUAAGAUGUGGCUGAUUGAUUAGCUACGGUAUAUACUGGUAGAAGAUGUGGCUGAUUGAUUAGCUAUGGUAUAUACUGGUAGAAGAUGUGGCUGAUUGAUUAGCUACAGUAUAUAUUGGUAGAAGAUGUGGCUGAUUGAUUAGCUACGGUAUAUAUUGGUAGAAGAUGUG